rnacentral:rRNA from 1 species
GACGAACCGUGCGAAUGUUGUUCGGAAUCACUGGGCUUAAAGGGCGCGUAGGCGGGCUGUCAAGUCUGGGGUGAAAUGCCGCGGCUCAACCGUGGAACUGCCUUAGAUACUGACGCCUCGAGGCAGGUAGGGGCAUGCGGAACUGUAGGUGGAGCGGUGAAAUGCGUUGAUAUCUACAGGAACUCCGGUGGCGAAAGCGGCGUGCUGGACCUUUUCUGACGCUGAGGCGCGAAAGCUAGGGGAGCAAACGGG